rnacentral:rRNA from 1 species
UACGAAGGGGGCUAGCGUUGCUCGGAAUGACUGGGCGUAAAGGGCGCGUAGGCGGAUGGCACAGUCAGAUGUGAAAUUCCCGGGCUUAACCUGGGGGCUGCAUUUGAUACGUGUUGUCUUGAGUUCGGAAGAGGGUCGUGGAAUUCCCAGUGUAGAGGUGAAAUUCGUAGAUAUUGGGAAGAACACCGGUGGCGAAGGCGGCUCACUGGCUCGUAACUGACGCUCAUGCACGACAGCGUGGGGAUCAAACAGG